rnacentral:rRNA from 1 species
UGGGGAAUAUUGCACAAUGGGGGAAACCCUGAUGCAGCGACGCCGCGCGAACGAAGAAGGUAUUCGUAUCGUAAAGUUCUGUCCUGUGGGAAGAUAAUGACAGUACCAUAGAAGAAAGCUCCGGCUAAAUACGUGCCAGCAGCCGCGGUAAUACGUAUGGAGCGAGCGUUGUCCGGAAUUAUUGGGCGUAAAGGGUACGCAGGCGGUUUAAUAAGUCGAAUGUUAAAGAUCGGGGCUCAACCCCGCAAAGCAUUGGAAACUGAUAAACUUGAGUAGUGGAGAGGAAAGUGGAAUUCCUAGUGUAGUGGUGAAAUACGUAGAUAUUAGGAGGAAUACCAGUAGCGAAGGCGACUUUCUGGACACAAACUGACGCUGAGGUACGAAAGCGUGGGGAGCAAACAGG